AUUGAACGCUGGCGGCAGGCCUAACACAUGCAAGUCGAACGAGUGGCGGACGGGUGAGUAAUGUCUGGGGAACUGCCUGAUAGAGGGGGAUAACUACUGGAAACGGUAGCUAAUACCGCAUACUAUCGUAUGUCACCAUAUGGGAUUAGCUAGUAGGUGGGGUAAAGGCUCACCUAGGCGACGAUCCCUAGCUGUUCUGAGAGGAUGACCAGCCACACUGGGACUGAGACACGGCCCAGACUCCUACGGGAGGCAGCAGUGGGGAAUAUUGAACAAUGGGCGCAAGCCUGAUGCAGCCAUGCCGCGUGUAUGAAGAAGGCCUUCGGGUUGUAAAGUACUUUCAGCGGGGAGGCGUUACCCGCAGAAGAAGCACCGGCUAACUCCGUGCCAGCAGCCGCGGUAAUUC
rnacentral:rRNA from 1 species